AAAAUGUUAUUCAAGUACAGUAUUUAAAUUUUCAAAAAUAAAGAAACUAGAAAUUAAUUUGAGAUGUAACGCGUUAUAAUUUAGAGAUGGUUAUUCGAAACUUUUCUCAAAAUUUUUUUUUUCUUCUUCUGUAAGUUAUAUUAAGACAAAUUGAUAAGAUGGCAAAAUUUUGCAACAGUGAUUAUAAAACUUCCAGGAAGAAGAAGAAAAAAGAGGGGGGAAGAGCCAUUUUAAGUUGGGUAGAAAGAAAAUUAGCAUAAGAUGGAUCGCGAUUAUCAAAAGAUGCAAAUUUUCUUUAAAUCUAUGCUACUUUUAAAUUUCCACACGAAUAAUUAUUUCCCAGAAUCGAGAAGGAGAGAGAGAAAGAGAAUAUUCACUCGUAUAUUCUUCCGAAAAGUCAUACAGUUUUUAUUAAAAAAAUUACACAUAAAUAAUUUUUCUUCUUCUGGCAAAACAACCAUGUUUUUAUUCAAUUAUAAAUUUAAAAAAAAGAAGUGUCAUUUUAAGAGAUAUUCUUCGUUUGUUGAUUAAGAUUUCUCUCUCAAUAUUCAUCAAAAAUUGUUGCUCAC
rnacentral:lncRNA from 1 species